CUGUAGUGCAAAGGAGUGAUGACUUCAAAGAAGCAAUUCAGAGAUUAUUAUAGAAAUGGCUGAUCUGAGAACAUACUAUGUGGCAAGUUUUUAAGGACUGAAAACUUCACAAUGGCCUAAGAUUCAAGGUAUCAUUCUGAACCUAGACCUAGAUCCUUGAUUUUAGAAAUAUUUUUCUAGUUAAAAAAGCAAGAGCACAAGUUUAUUCUGUCAUCUGGUGUUGUAGCUUAACUAAAAUAGCCUGUGCAUGAUGUGAAGAGUAAACAACAGGGCAGAUUACAAAAUGAUGUAAAGGACCCAUUAGGCACUUAAUUCCUGUAGGCACUGUUAAAAAUUCAGUUACAAAGAAUAUCUAGUCUGGACAAUGGUGUUUUAUUUGUAGCAUGACAUCAUCUGUUGGUGUUUGACCUAGUUCUUAAUCUCAUAUACUAUGAGCUUGAUGUGUUAAUAGCUGCAAUUAAUUAGUUAGUAAUUGAGGAGUAAAUUGAAGUAUUGGACUCACAAAGUGAGUCUGAUUGUAAAUCAGGGCAUUAAUCACUGAAAUGUAAUAGAUAAAUUAUCAAUUAACUGCUGGAAAUUUUGAUUAUUAAUUGAUUUGUGAUGGUUUUAAAAUUAUUCCUAGAUAUUGCCUCGUUUUUUUUUUGUAUUUUUUCAUGAUGCGUGUUUCAGAAUUAUUGAGUCUGUAGAUAAAAAUCAACAUACAGUAUGAGAGUGUAAAAUAAAAAUGUAAAGAAGUAAAUUCCUAAUUUAUUUUUCUCAGUUCUGAUGUCUGUUUUGUAUUACUGUUUUAAGGCUGACAAAUCCAGAAAGAUAAUAUGCUGCUAUAUCGAAGCCAAGUCAUAUGGAUCUCUCAGGGAAAUAUAUGUGCAGCUUUGCAUCCCUCGACUACACAAAAAGCCUCAGAUUGUAAAAAUAUUUGGAGGAACUCACUUCCAGCCUGGACACUUGUUACAGCUCCUGAGCACACUGGAGGACAUGAUUUCUUUAUUGCUGCUUCUCAAAGGAAGUGUUUAUGCCUUUGUAUAUAAUUAGCUCCACUGUGAAGCUCUGAGAAAGAAAAGGCUUGGUUAUCUUGUUAGACUUGUGGUUCAGCAGGGUGGAGAGUAGUGAGGUAGAACAGAAUGUUUUGCACUUAGUCAUAAGCAGUACUAGAGGCAACUUAAAAUCUUCAGUAUCGACUGGCUCAGUGUGGGGUUCUAUUACCAGUAGAAAAGGAGAUAUUCAAAGCCUGACAGCAGCUUUGGAGAAAUACUGCUGGGUGGAAAUUCCAUCUCAUCCUGAACUCUGUCUCAUUCCCCAUUAGGCAGCAUGAUCAGAAAAAUACAUUUUUGUGCAGAGAAACAAUGCCUACACAUCAGAAUUCAUAGCAAUGUGAUAACACCAGGCCUCACAGUAGUUUGAAGACCAUGGAGCACAUCGCCAGUCUUGGCUGGAUUGUUCUACUACACCCAUCAUAAGUCCAGAUUUGAAGCCUUCUGACUUAUAUCUGUUCAGGCUGAUGAAAGAUGGACUGUGUGGGCAACAUCUUCCUAGUAAAGAUGGUCGCCAUAAUAGCAGCUGUGAAACACUGGGUCACUUCCACUGGUACAGAUUUUUAUGAAUGUGGCAUGCAGGCUCUUGUUCAUCACUGGCAAAAAUGCACAGCUAAUGGUGGCAACUAUAUUGAAAAAUAGUGUUUUGUAGCUGAGAAUUUGCUCUGUCAAAUAGUAUCAUUGUGCUCUUUGUAUGUGUUGUAGUUUCCAUGAAAAUAAAUAGGAGGCAUUUCUUCUGGAGCA
rnacentral:lncRNA from 1 species